GCCGAAGCAACUAGCCNNGAAAAUGGAUGGCGCUCUAGCGUCGUGCCUAUACCGGGCCGUCAACGGCAAAGUUGGUUUUUCGGAGCCGUUAAGCCUUGACGAGUAGGAGGGUCGCGGCGGUGUGCGCAGAAGGGUCAGGGCGUGAGCCCGCCUGGAGCCGCCGUCGGCGCAGAUCUUGGUGGUAGUAGCAAAUACUCUAGCGAGGGCCUGGAGGACUGACGUGGAGAAGGGUUUCUUGUGAACAGCCGUUGCACAAGAGUCAGUCGACCCUAAGCCCUAGGAGAAAUCCGAUGUUGAUGGGUGGCUAAACAAGAAUCCAUGUUCUGAUUGUUACUUUCCGAUCGUCCAAAUUCAGUCCAAAACGUCGGGCCGUUUUCCUUGUGUGCAAGCACGGGACGGCCGUUCGGUGGCGGACUUGCUUUUUGACGGUCGGGCUCAUCCUGCCCCACGUCCAAACCGUCUCCUGAAGGGGAGCCGGUUCGGACGGCGAGCGGCUGGUUUGACGCAACUACGUGACAACAGCUCCUGUCGGGCAAAAGGGAAUCCGGUUCCUAUUCCGGAACCCGGCUGCGGAACCGUCAUUCAGCGGGCACUCGCCUGCGAGCGCUCGUCGGGGUAACCCAACCUGGCCCGGAGACGCUGGCGGGGGGUCUGGAAAGAGUUUUCUUUUCUUUAUAAGCGUUCGAGUACCCUGGAAUCCUAUAGCAGGGAGAUAGGGUUUGGAACGCGAAGAGCACCGCAGUUGCGGCGGUGUCCGGACCUUCCCCCCGGACCUUGAAAAUCCGGGUGAGGGCUACGUGGAAGUCGCGCCGGAUCGUACCCAUAUCCGCAGCAGGUCUCCAAGGUUAAGAGCCUCUAGUCGAUAGAAUAAUGUNGNNAAGGGNAGUNGGNAAA
rnacentral:rRNA from 1 species